rnacentral:rRNA from 1 species
UACGUAGGGUGCGAGCGUUGUCCGGAAUUAUUGGGCGUAAAGAGCUUGUAGGCGGUUUGUCGCGUCUGCUGUGAAAAUCCGGGGCUCAGCCCCGGACUUGCAGUGGGUACGGGCAGACUAGAGUGUGGUAGGGGAGACUGGAAUUCCUGGUGUAGCGGUGAAAUGCGCAGAUAUCAGGAGGAACACCGAUGGCGAAGGCAGGUCUCUGGGCCACUACUGACGCUGAGAAGCGAAAGCGUGGGGAGCGAACAGG